rnacentral:rRNA from 1 species
AUUUAACGCUGGCGGCAGGCCUAACACAUGCAAGUCGUGCGAGCGGCGGACGGGUGCGUAAUGUAUGGGGAUCUGCCUGAUGGCGGGGGAUAACUACUGUAAACGGUAGCUAAUACCGCAUACCCUCAGAUGAACCCAUAUGGGAUUAGCUAGUAGGUGAGGUAACGGCUUACCUAGGCGACGAUCCCUAGCUGGUCUGAGAGGAUGAUCAGCCACACUGGGACUGAGACACGGCCCAGACGCAUACGGGAUGCAGCAGUGGGGAAUAUUGCACAAUGGGCGCAAGCCUGAUGCAGCCAUGCCGCGUGUAUGAAGAAGGCCUUCGGGUUGUAAAGUACUUUCAGUCGGGAGGCGUUACCGACAGAAGAAGCACCGGCUAACUCCGUGCCAGCCGCCGCGGUAAUUC